GCCAGGUGUGGUGGCGCACACCUGUAGUCCCAGCUACUUGGGAGGCUGAGGCAGGAGAAUCGCUUGAACCGGGGGGGCAGAGGUUGCAGUGAGCUGAGAUCACGCCACUGUACUCCAGCCUGGGUAACACAGCGAGACUCUGUCUCAG
rnacentral:SRP_RNA from 1 species